CCUGAGAAACCUAAAAGUUCGAAAAGAGAGAUUCAACGUCAGCAUGUACUGUAUUCACGUGAGUAGUGAUGCAAGUUUUGUUAGUCGGGUAAUACCUUCUAAUUAAUUCUAGCACAUUUUCAUGUUAUUUUAUUGCUGUACUGUCCGACGUGCACUUCUCUCUUAGUAGGACGUCCCGACCCGUUGAGUCUUAGCCUACGGCCCGAAAGGUUGUCUUUAAUAUGAUUCAUAUUAAAAACCUUUGGUGUUCUCCUGGCCUAAGUGCUCGACGGUAGUUAAACGACUCGGUAUUAAGCCGCAAUUAAUUUUGCGUCCGGCCUGCCGCAAGUUUAUUGACAAAUUCUGUAUUAGCACAGACUUAGCGCUUGCUAUAUGGUUUUGUUGGCUGUUUGCAUGACAGUGCUCUUGGAUUGGCUUAGAAUAUACCUGUCAGGGACGCUUAGGCUUUGGGUACUCUCAGGACCCGUCUUGAAACACGGACCAAGGAGUCUAACAUGUACGCGAGUCAUUGGGUAUAUAUUUUCCUUCGGGAAUUUAUAUAAAACAAACCUAAAGGCGAAAUAAAAGUAAAGGUUAAACUUCGCGUUUAACUUAGGGAUGAUGGGUUAUUAAUUUAUCUCCGCAAUCCCAGGGCGUCUUAAUCUCAUUGCGAGAUGU
rnacentral:rRNA from 1 species